rnacentral:rRNA from 1 species
UACGUAGGGUGCAAGCGUUAAUCGGAAUUGCUGGGCGUAAAGCGUGCGCAGGCGGGUCUAUAAGACAGAUGGGAAAUCCCCGGGCUCAACCUGGGAACUGCAUUUGUGACUGUAGAGCUGGAGUGCGGCAGAGGGGGAUGGAAUUCCGCGUGUAGCAGUGAAAUGCGUAGAUAUGCGGAGGAACACCGAUGGCGAAGGCAAUCCCCUGGGCCUGCACUGACGCUCAUGCACGAAAGCGUGGGGAGCAAACAGG